rnacentral:rRNA from 1 species
UACAGAGGGUGCGAGCGUUAAUCGGAAUUACUGGGCGUAAAGCGUGCGCAGGCGGCUCCUUGAGUCAGAUGUGAAAGCCCCGGGCUUAACCUGGGAACUGCGUUUGAAACUGGGGAGCUGGAGUGUAGAAGAGGGGGGUGGAAUUCCUGGUGUAGCGGUGAAAUGCGCAGAUAUCAGGAGGAACACCUAUGGCGAAGGCAGCUCGCUGGGACGCAACUGACGCUGAGACGCGAAAGCGUGGGGAGCAAACAGG